UGAUUUAUGAAUGUCUAUUGAGGGAAAAAAAACGCGCGAGCUCCUCAUAAUUGCUUUUAAUUCCAAGUCUCUAUACAUGACUUUCUCUCUCUACUUCAUUCGUUUCUCCCUCCUGUUUGAAGCUCCAUCACUAUGAUUGUACUUCAACUUUCUCUUAAAUCAUCAAUCAAAUCACAUUAGCUCAAGAUUUUGAAUGCAAGAUUUGUUGAAUGUGAAUUACACAGAUUAUAUUUGGAGAAACCCGGCAGAGGCUGAGCUCUUGUAAGAUAUUGGGAAGCAGGGGACACACAAGCUUGCUGCUAUCUUAGGGGACAUUGGAGAAUUGCUCAAAGGUUCCUGCAAAUUCGAGUUCAGCUAUGUUCACAGAGAAGCCAACGAAGUGGCUCAUUAACUUGCGCAAAUGGCAAUUGAAAUGGAGGGAGAUAUAGUCAAGCACAACAACAUUCCGACUUGCGCUAAGAAUGCUUAUGAAAAUGAUAUGGUGGAAAGCUGCAUCUAAGCUGACAUUGGGUUUUGUUGGAUUGAAGUAGAACAAGUUUCUUAUUUGCACUCGUAUGGUUUUUUUUAUUUUGGAGCUGCUAUAAUUGCUCCCUUGAACUCUUUGUGGUUGAUUGAUUAAGCAAUAUGAUUUUCCUUAUUUAAUCUUUACGUAAAUGUUG